rnacentral:rRNA from 1 species
AACGAACGCUGGCGUCAGGCCUAACACAUGCAAGUCGAACGCCCCGCAAGGGGAGUGGCAGACGGGUGAGUAACACGUGGGAACCUUCCCAACAGUACGGAAUAGCCCAGGGAAACUUGGAGUAAUACCGUAUAUUCCCGAGAGGGGAAAGAUUUAUCGCUGUUGGAUGGGCCCGCGUCGGAUUAGCUAGUUGGUGAGGUAACAGCUCACCAGGGCGACGAACCGUAGCUGGUUUGAGAGAAUGACCAGCCACACCGGGACUGAGACACGGCCCAGAGUCCUACGGGAGGCAGCAGUGGGGAGUCUUGGCCACUGGGCGCAAGCCUGAUCCAGCCAUGCCGCGUGAGUGACGAAGGCCUUAGGGUUGUAAAGCUCUUUUGCCGGGGACGAUAAUGACGGUACCCGGAGAAUAAGUCCCGGCUAACUUCGUGCCAGCCGCCGCCGUAA